ensembl:misc_RNA Metazoa_SRP Metazoan signal recognition particle RNA
ACCAGGGCUCCGUGGCGCGUGCCUGUAGUCCCAGCUACUUGGAGGCUGAGGCUGGAGGAUUGCUUGAGUCCAAGAGUUCUGGGCUGUAGUGUGCUCUGCUGAUGGGAUGUCUGCACUAAGUUCAGCAUCAAUAUGGUGACCUCCUGGAAGUGGGGGAACACCAGGUUGCCUAAGGGGGGUGAACCGGCCCAGGUCAGAAACGGAGCAGAUCAAAACUCCCAUGAUGAUCGGUAGUGGGAUCGCUCCUGUGAAUAGCCACUGCACUCCAGCCUGGGCAACAUAGCGAGACCCCCAUCUA